rnacentral:rRNA from 1 species
AUUGAACGCUGGCGGCAGGCCUAACACAUGCAAGUCGAGCGGAGCGGCCGACGGGCGAGUAAUGCAUAGGUGUCUGCCUGGCCGAGGGGGCUAACGUCCGACAAGGGGCGCUAACACCGCACACUAUCUGUUGAGCCUAGGUGGGAUUAGCUAGUUGGUGGGGCAAGGGCCUACCAAGGCGACGAUCCGUAGCUGGUCUGAGAGGAUGAUCAGUCACACUGGAACUGAGACACGGUCCAGACUACUACGGGAGGCAGCAGUGGGGAAUAUUGCACAAUGGGCGAAAGCCUGAUGCAGCCAUGCCGCGUGUGUGAAGAAGGUCUUCGGAUUGUAAAGCACUUUAAUUUGGGAGGCGUUACCCACAGAAUAAGCACCGGCUAACUUCGUGCCAGCAGCCGCGGUAAUAC